rnacentral:rRNA from 1 species
AGCAGUAGCCGCGGUAAUACGUAGAGUGCGAGCGUUAAUCGGAAUUACUGGGCGUAAAGCGUGCGCAGGCGGCUUUGCAAGACAGAUGUGAAAUCCCCGGGCUCAACCUGGGAACUGCAUUUGUGACUGCAAGGCUAGAGUACGGUAGAGGGGGAUGGAAUUCCGCGUGUAGCAGUGAAAUGCGUAGAUAUGCGGAGGAACACCAAUGGCGAAGGCAAUCCCCUGGACCUGUACUGACGCUCAUGCACGAAAGCGUGGGGAGCAAACAGGAUUAGAUACCCCUGUAGUCCCUGUCUCUUAUAC